GGAAGCCGGUGGGACUCCGGCACGGUCGCGCCACUGUGUGGGCCAGCCCUCGACCAGAGGGUGACGCCCGAGUCAGAC
rnacentral:ncRNA from 2 species